rnacentral:rRNA from 1 species
UACAGAGGUCCCAAGCGUUGUUCGGAUUCACUGGGCGUAAAGGGUGCGUAGGCGGUCGGGUAAGUCUGGCGUGAAAUCUCCAAGCCUAACUUGGAAACUGCGUUGGAUACUAUCCGGCUCGAGGAAUGGAGGGGAGACUGGAAUACUUGGUGUAGCAGUGAAAUGCGUAGAUAUCAAGUGGAACACCAGUGGCGAAGGCGAGUCUCUGGACAAUUCCUGACGCUGAGGCACGAAAGCCAGGGGAGCAAACGGG